rnacentral:lncRNA from 1 species
CAAAGGGAGCUACUUCUGCUUCUAGCUUUGGCAAUGGUCAGAACCGUUUGUAUGCUCUUGCCACUCACCAGGAUUUUUAGGUGUCCCCUAAUGUUGUUACUUGUACACUUAAACUCUUUUCUUGUGAUGUAUAUUGUCUACCUGAUCUCAGGUUUAUGCUCUCUUAUGUGACCCCUUAUGUGCUUAUUUAUUUUGGCUUUGACCCUGAGUGUAUUUUGAA